UGGGGAAUAUUGGACAAUGGGCGAAAGCCUGAUCCAGCCAUGCCGCGUGUGUGAAGAAGGUCUUCGGAUUGUAAAGCACUUUAAGUUGGGAGGAAGGGCAGUAAGCGAAUACCUUGCUGUUUUGACGUUACCGACAGAAUACGCACCGGCUAACUCUGUGCCAGCAGCCGCGGUAAUACAGAGGGUGCAAGCGUUAAUCGGAAUUACUGGGCGUAAAGCGCGCGUAGGUGGUUCGUUAAGUUGAAUGUGAAAGCCCCGGGCUCAACCUGGGAACUGCAUCCAAAACUGGCGAGCUAGAGUAGGGCAGAGGGUGGUGGAAUUUCCUGUGUAGCGGUGAAAUGCGUAGAUAUAGGAAGGAACACCAGUGGCGAAGGCGACCACCUGGGCUCAUACUGACACUGAGGUGCGAAAGCGUGGGGAGCAAACAGG
rnacentral:rRNA from 1 species